UGGCUAUCCAAGCUACGUUUUUGAUAUGUUUGCGUCGUCGCCAACCUCCAGAAACUUGAUGCCGACACUUUGGCACUUCUACGUUAAGAUUUACGGUAAACCAUAUGGGCCGGCAACCUGUUGCGCGUGAACGGUUUUCUCGUUUAUUCGGAUUAGCUUGAAUUUGAAAUCAGACGGAAGUGUGACAACUCAACAAAACGGUCACCAGUUUCUAUUUUCAUGGAAUGGAAUAUCGCCAAGGGAUCUAAUGUGUUUAGCCGGCAAACAUAGGAAGGUGAAAGUGAUUCACGGAAACAGUAUCCUUCAUAAAACUCGUAUUCAAGCGUUACGGCCGCGUCUCAUCAAUUUCUCGUUUUUAACCGUUCGCUCCACACACAAACCCGAUCCUAAAACCACCUCACUUCUUGUUUCAUAGUCUGCUGAGUGCCAACAACGGCUCAGCCAGUGGGACCACCAGUCGUUUUGAAGCGCGUUCGAAAGUUCAAGACCCUUGCCUUGGGCGUCACGUCGUUUAAAACGAAAGAGCGAAAGUCUAUCACUCGAUAAAGGGUUAACGUACUUUGGAGGAUCCAGACGAAGCUGGCGAAAAAUAUGUCGCUUAGCUGGGUUGGAUUUUUUACGUAUUUUGCGCAAGUGACGACGUAUUAUCGACAGGAAGAAAAAGGCCCAAAAAUGGUUCCGUAACUUUCGUUCGGGAAAUUCGGGAAGGUGCUCCUCGUAGUAGUCGACCGUUUGGGGUGUCACACGAAUUUACACAACAAAAAUCAUUUUCAUCGGCAAAAUUCCGCGAAAAGGCAAGGAGAUCGAGCUAUAUGCUCUCAAGCCGUUGAUUACGGCUGAUAAAAAGUGGGUCGCAUAGGGCAAUAAUGUGCAAUAAGAAAAAUGUCUUUCCCAAUCUGUAGCAAAAGCCAGACUAAUUUCAACGAAGAUAAUGCUAUAUGUCCGGUGGAACCGAAAAGAAAUCGUGUAUUAUGAGUUGCUGCGGCUCAGCGAAACGAUUGAUUCGAACUUCUAGCACCAAUAACUAACAAAAUUACAAUA